rnacentral:rRNA from 1 species
GACGAACGCUGGCGGCGUGCUUAACACAUGCAAGUCGAACGGAAAGGCCCUGCUUUUGUGGGGUGCUCGAGUGGCGAACGGGUGAGUAACACGUGAGUAACCUGCCCUUGACUUUGGGAUAACUUCAGGAAACUGGGGCUAAUGCCGGAUAGGAGCUCCUGCUGCAUGGUGGGGGUUGGAAAGUUUCGGCGGUUGGGGAUGGACUCGCGGCUUAUCAGCUUGUUGGUGGGGUAGUGGCUUACCAAGGCUUUGACGGGUAGCCGGCCUGAGAGGGUGACCGGCCACAUUGGGACUGAGAUACGGCCCAGACUCCUACGGGAGGCAGCAGUGGGGAAUAUUGCACAAUGGGCGGAAGCCCGAUGCAGCAACGCCGCGUGCGGGAUGACGGCCUUCGGGUUGUAAACCGCUUUCGCCUGUGACGAAGCGUGAGUGACGGUAAUGGGUAAAGAAGCACCGGCUAACUACGUG